CCAUCAAAUGACGGUGCCACUGGCACAAAAGCUACCCUUAACAACAUCAAUACUCCGAUAAUAGCCGGUAGUAUUGGAGCUUUAGUUGCAGUUCUCUCCCUCAUUGGAGCAAUAUAUGCGACAUGUGCAGCAAAACAGAGCAUUAACAAACCCGAUAUAAAAACACAGAAAACAUCUGAAUCAUUCGACAGUAGACCAUUUCCUGCUGUUACCCCGAGAAAUGGUAAACAGAUAAGUUGGUAUUAAGGUGACAUCGUUGUUUAUGAGAUAAAGCCAUACUUUUAAAACAGAAAAUGAGAUGAAUUAUAAACUUUUGCGAAGAUAAUCAAAGUUUGAAACAUGACUUACAAUGUAGAAAUAUCAAUUCUCCAGUGUUCUUGAUGAAGAUGUUAUUUACAAUGAAUUGAAUGAAUAUGACUUAUGAAUUAUAGUAAUAUUAAAAGACUGAUAUAUCAGUAUCGUUUGAUGGUAAACAGGACUAACCUAGAUCACUGCGUUUAACCGUCUCUAUGUAUCAGUAUGAUUUGAUGGUAAACAGGACUAAUCUAUACCACUGUGUACAACCGUCUCUGUGUAUCAAACAAAACAUAGCAUACAUGCAUUUAUGGUAGCUCUAGAUUUAAUGAAUUAUUUUCAUCUCUGUGAAGAAGUUAAUUAUAUUUUAUUAUUUAUGCUCACUUUUUAUUGUUGUCUUUCACAUUAUUUUUAUUAUUAUUUAAAAAUGGGGACAUUCGAUAAUACUUCGAUGGACAAACAUUUUACUAGGCAACGAAAGUUGAAUGUGACGUUGCGAAGUUGUGCUUUGAUCAUAAUGUCGUCAUUAUCACAAUAAGGGAUCAUGAAUUAACAUGCUUGUUUGAAAUGUUAAACUAUCCGACUGGGUCCUUUGCUGACUUGGAUCAUUACCAUAAUUUGAAAUUAAUGUUUGUGCAACCACACUAUAUGCGCCUUUUGAA